rnacentral:rRNA from 1 species
AUUGAACGCUGGCGGCAGGCCUAACACAUGCAAGUCGAACGAGUGGCGGACGGGUGAGUAAUGUCUGGGAAACUGCCUGAUGGAGGGGGAUAACUACUGGAAACGGUAGCUAAUACCGCAUACCAUCGGAUGUGCCCAGAUGGGAUUAGCUAGUAGGUGGGGUAAAGGCUCACCUAGGCGACGAUCCCUAGCUGGUCUGAGAGGAUGACCAGCCACACUGGAACUGAGACACGGCCCGGACUCCUACGGGAGGCAGCAGGGGGGAAUAUUGCACAAUGGGGGCAAGCCUGAUGCAGCCAUGCCGCGUGAAUGAAGAAGGCCUUCGGGUUGUAAAGUACUUUCGGUGAGGAGGCGUUAACCGCAGAAGAAGCACCGGCUAACUCCGUGCCAGCAGCCGCGGUAAUAC